rnacentral:rRNA from 1 species
AUUGAACGCUGGCGGCAUGCCUUACACAUGCCAGUCGAACGGUAACGGGCCUUCGGGUGCCGACGAGUGGCGAACGGGUGAGUAAUACAUCGGAACGUGCCCGAUCGUGGGGGAUAACGAGGCGAAAGCUUUGCUAAUACCGCAUACGAUCUACGGAUGAAAGCAGGGGACCGCAAGGCCUUGCGCGGACGGAGCGGCCGAUGGCAGAUUAGGUAGUUGGUGGGAUAAAAGCUUACCAAGCCGACGAUCUGUAGCUGGUCUGAGAGGAUGAUCAGCCACACUGGGACUGAGACACGGCCCAGACUCCUGCGGGAGGCAGCAGUGGGGAAUUUUGGACAAUGGGCGCAAGCCUGAUCCAGCCGUGCCGCGUGCAGGAUGAAGGCCUUCGGGCUGUAAACUGCUUUUGUACGGAACGAAAAGCCUUCUUUUAAUACAGGAGGGUCAUGACGGUACCGUAAGAAUAAGCACCGGCUAACUACGUG